AAGGGGUUAUACGCAGUUAUGAAGCAAAUAAAAGACGGGUUGUCAAGGAUUUAUUCUGAAGAAACUUCAGAAUAUUUUAAUUUGAAAAUUUUUGGCGGUUAUAAAAGCAUCCUUCAAGAACGUAACAAAAUUUUUUAUUUAUGAAAAUGUUGAUUAUAGAGCGCGCUGCAGGCGAUUUCUGGAACCUCCUUUAAAAAAAGACGAUUUACGGUGUACAUCGUAACUCAGGAUUGGAUUAUCUGAAAUCAAAAAACCAAACAAAUUUUGUUAAUAUAUUAGAUUAUCUAGUAAUUAAUCGUUCGGCUAAUCAAAAUAGUGAAUUUUCACAAAAUGGCAGCUUUUAAAAGAAAUGAUUUCGAUUUUUACGUUAAAAUUUGGCCGUAAAUUAAUUAUAAAAUGGAAAAUAAGUAUCAGAUUUACAAAAGGAACGAUUAAUUACUAGAAAAUGUAUCUUUAAAGAUUGAGUUAAAACGGUUGACCGAUCAAACAAGCCGUUUUCGAGAUAUCGUGUACACCGACUUGAAAAAUGCCGUUUUGAAAAAAACACGUUUAAAGUUUCAAUACCUACCUUAAAACGUGCCGAGGCAUCUCUACAUAUUUAGGUAUAACUCCGAAAGUAUUGCUUAGAUCUACUUCAAAUUUCGUGCGUAUACUUUUGAAUAUAUGUACAUUACAAAAAUGCAAUAAAAAAAAUCAAUUUUUUUGAAAGUCAUAACUGCGUAUAACCCCUUAACUAAAGGAUUUGUAUAAUGUCUAGAUGUCAUCUGGAUUCAACUGCAUUUUUGUGGUUUGAUAACUAUUUUCUCAUUUCGUAGCUUCACGCUGUGUGGCAAUAGCGCGCAGGUUAUGAAUCCUCUUGCUAUGCAACAUGUCACAAAUUAGAAAGUAUGCCCAGGCAACAAAACACAUGCCAGAUUUUCAAGCAGAUGAAGACAGUAUGUAAAAUUUCUAUACACCACUUGAAAACGUUUGAGUUCGCCACAUCUGAAUUCGCCUCGAUUUCGCCCGUCGCGUUUGUAAAUAUUUUUAUUUUGCCUGGAUAAUACUCGUAUAAAUCAAUUAUCCCUGAGCUGAGUGCAAAUAAAAAAAAACAUGAAUAAUAUUUCUAUUCAAAAACUACCUACCUCGGAAAAGAUGCUGGUAAAGACUGCUCGCAACUUUAUCCAGCUCUGUUUGGAAGGUCUCAUAGAGUCGUUAAAGGUUUCAUCGGGCAAGGUGGCGAUCCAACCGGUGCGCCAUUGGUGGAGAAUCCAUCUACGGGCAUCCAUUUAAAGACGAAUGCUAUUCCGACAAGGAUGAUCAUAGUUAAUAAUUUUUCUUCACCAUGGGCAAUGCAUCGGAACUGCAAAAUAAAAACAACAUGCAGAAAUUAGAAGAAGGCUUAAUAGAUCACAAUGCACGUCCAGGAAAUAUGUAUAAAGGAAAAUACAAAAAAUAGCGAAAAGGGAAGUACGGGUAACAUUCUUUUGGUGAGGAGGCUGAGUUGGGUGAAGAGGUAACCAAACAAUUUAUGCAAGAAAAUUCUGGUAAAGCAAAAUCAAUAAAUGAUGUUGUAGAUGAUUCCAAACCAAGCUCGGAUGCAUCUGUAUUGAAAAGACAAAUAUUAGUUCCGAUGAUGAAGAAGCAUUAGAAGAAGAGCGUCGACUAGUACGCAUAAAAAAGAACCUGUGGAUGACGAAGAUGUAGAGGGACGUAAGCAGCGCAUAAAAGAUAAAUGACAACCAAAAUUGAGCGAAACUAAAAAAAGUGUCUAAAAUUGAGUCCAUGAGUAUAAAAUAUGAAACAUUGGACUCUGUGAGGACGAGCUAUUGACUCAAAAACAGAAGCUUUAAAUUAAAAAAAAAAAAAGAAAAGUGCAAGCUGAAAUUGCGGUGGAUUUUUAAUUUUGGAUGUUAUAAUUUUAUGAACUUCGUUUGUUCAUUUAGAAAUGAAAUACCGAAGGAAAUACUCAACCUCCAAAAGAAAUAUCAAACAAACGAAUACCCGAGAAGGGUCCUGUUGUUGAGUUAAGGGCCAACGCUGAUGAGAGCGAAUUCAUUAAGAAUUUCAUCGAGAAAAAAGAAAAUAUUAAAUUAUCGCUAUUUGAAAUUUAGCAGUGUGUGCUAGUCGAUUCUAACAUAACCUAUGUAAACGUCGUAAACUAAUCUUAGACGUACCAGAUGGUAAACAAACUGCUCCGACACAUUAGAGAUUUUGUUUAGAAUCAUAUACUUUUUUUUUUGUGAAAAUGUCUGAUUUUGUGCCGAAUAAUCGGCAUUUGCGGGAAGUGUUGAUUUUCCACUUUCAUUCGAAAAAAAAAACGGCGGCUAAAGCGCAUCGAGAGCUACAAAAAGUUUAUGGAAAUGCUACUUUAAGUGAAACAACGUGCCGAGUUUGGUUCCGUCGCUUCAAAGACGGUGAUUUUAAUGUUGACGACCGUCCGCGUGAAGAAAGGCCAAAAGCCUUCGAAGACGCUGAAUUGGAGGCAUUGCUCGAUGAGGAUCCGUGUCAAACGUAAGAAGAGCUUGCUUCAGUAUUAGGAGUUACCCGCCAAUCCAUUUCCAAGCGAUUGCAUGCUUUGGGAAUGAUUCAGAAACAGCGAACUUGGGUUCCUUAUGAGUUAAAACCAAGGGAUGUUGAACGUCGAAUGUCGUUUUUUCGCCUGUGAACAACUGCUCCAGCGGCAAGGAAAGGAAAAGGAAGGGGUUUCUUCGUCGCAUCGUGACGGGUGAUGAAAAAUGGAUUCAUUAAAGCAAUCCCAAACAAAAGAAAGUCAUGGGGACUGCCAGGUCAUGCUUCUACGUCGUCGCCUCAGCCGAAAAUUCACGCUACGAAUGUUAUUCUAUGUAUUUGGUUUUAUUUAUUAUGAACUGUUAAAAAAAAGCGCAAGAAACGGCCGCAAUAUGCGGAGAGGCAUGAAAAAGUGAUUCUACAGCAUGACAACGCUCGUCUUGACGUUGCCAAACCAGUUAAAACCUACCUGGAAACACGGAAAUGGGAAAUCCUGCCCCACCCGCCAUAUUCUCCAGGUAAUGCGCCGUCCGAUUAUCACCUGUUCCGAUCGAUGGCACAUGGUCAUGACAAGCAGUUCCAUUCAUAUGAAGACAUCAAAUAAUGGCUUGAUUCGUGGAUAGGCUCAAAAGAUGACCAUUUUUACCGCGACGGUAUACAAGAUCUACCAUAAAGAUGUGAAAAAGUUGUAGCCAGCGAUCGGCAAUACUUUUAAGGAUUCACUUGUAACCAUUUUUUCAGAAUAAAGUUGCAUUUUCAUCAUCAUUUAAUAAUAACGGUUUAUAAUCGAAAAUCCCCAAAAAAGGUGGUAGUCGAGAGUAUUUCUGUAUCUCAGUUGGUGAUUA